rnacentral:rRNA from 1 species
CUACGGGGCGCUGCAGUGAGGAAUUUUGCGCAAUGGGGGAAACCCUGACGCAGCAACGCCGCGUGAGUGAAGAAGGCCUUCGGGUUGUAAAGCUCUGUCAAGUGGGAAAAAAGCCUCUUUGUUAAUAGCCAAGAGGUCUGAUGGUACCACUGGAGGAAGCACCGGCUAACUCCGUGCCAGCAGCCGCGGUAAUACGGAGGGUGCAAGCGUUGUUCGGAAUUACUGGGCGUAAAGGGCGUGCAGGCGGUGAGGUAAGUCAGAUGUGAAAGCCCUGGGCUCAACCCGGGAAGUGCAUUUGAAACUGCUUCACUAGAGUAUGGGAGAGGAGAGUGGAAUUCCCGGUGUAGAGGUGAAAUUCGUAGAUAUCGGGAGGAACACCCGUGGCGAAGGCGGCUCUCUGGACCAAUACUGACGCUGAGACGCGAAAGCGUGGGUAGCAAACAGGAUUAGAUACCCCGGUAGUC